UACGAAGGGGGCUAGCGUUGUUCGGAAUUACUGGGCGUAAAGGGCGCGUAGGCGGUUUGUCAAGUCAGGCGUGAAAGCCCCGGGCUCAACCUGGGAACCGCGCUUGAGACUGGCAGGCUCGAGUUCGGGAGAGGAUGGUGGAAUUCCCAGUGUAGAGGUGAAAUUCGUAGAUAUUGGGAAGAACACCGGUGGCGAAGGCGGGUCUCUGGGCAGUAACUGACGCUGAGGAGCGAAAGCGUGGGGAGCGAACAGG
rnacentral:rRNA from 1 species